UAGGGACCAAGCGUUGUUCGGAUUUACUGGGCGUAAAGGGCGCGUAGGCGGCGUGUUAAGUCAGCUGUGAAAUCUCCGAGCUUAACUCGGAACGGUCAGCUGAUACUGAUGUGCUAGAGUGCAGAAGGGGCAAUCGGAAUUCUUGGUGUAGCGGUGAAAUGCGUAGAUAUCAAGAGGAACACCUGAGGUGAAGACGGGUUGCUGGGCUGACACUGACGCUGAGGCGCGAAAGCCAGGGGAGCAAACGGG
rnacentral:rRNA from 1 species